AUGCUAGUGAUUUGUGAUGUAAACUUUGUCAGGGGUGUUGGAUAUUUUGACUCUCAAAUAUUUCAAGCAUCAGGAAAGUGCGUGUAUUGUGAAUGGUUUGCAUGCCAAUGUGACUUUGACAACUGUUUCACAGUACACUUCUCUUUUACAGCAUUUCAUAUGUUGCACAAUUCAUUUUAUUAUAUAUAUAUAUAUUAGACAUUCAAGUGAUAUUAAAAAAAUAAUUGAAAUACAUAACGUUAGCAUUUCGAAUUUUUAAUUGGUUAUAUGAGUUGUCCAGCGACUUCAUGCCCUCCUCUGACAGAAGUGCUUGAGUCGAUGAAGUGUAUUGAAGUCUUUGAAUAGGUCUAAACAGGUUUUAUUUACAUGUAAAUGCAAAAACUGCGGAUUUGUUCAGAUUUCUAAACAUUUAAAAAUCGUUGGUCACACCUAAAAAGUAUGAUUAUCUCCCCUGCAAACUUCCCGCCGUUUUGAUCCCGUGAUGCAAUUUACGUAAACAUUCGCGUCAAAACACCAUAGCCUAAAGUAUUUUCUCCAUUGACCAGUACUUGUUGAUAUAAAACUUGAUCAUGGACCAGAGAGAAUUUAGAAGCUACAUUGGAAUGACACAUUUCCAUCCCGAAAGAAACGUCGUGAAUGGAAUAGAUGUCUGCAAAAAUGGUCGAUUUGUAAAUCAAAUCAAGAAUAAAAUGGGUCAAGAAAAUGUGUCCCGCCCCUGGACGAACAGUUCCAUCCCUGUCGACCCCGCCCAUCUGGUGGCUGGAUCCGCCUCCUCCGCUUCCCAGUCCUCCUCUGCUACCAGUGUCCCCAGUUUUCACCACUGAGCAACCAGUGCUCAGCGCUUCGUUAUGAAGUAGUUGACAGACAAAAAGUCAACCUGUACGACUCUUAUUACAAUGUUCUGUUAAGUGUUCACGAAGUGUAUGGUUUCUGAAAUAAAUUUAACUUUUCAUCUUU